rnacentral:rRNA from 1 species
ACUCCUACGGGAGGCAGCAGUGGGGAAUAUUGCACAAUGGGCGCAAGCCUGAUGCAGCCAUGCCGCGUGUGUGAAGAAGGCCUUCGGGUUGUAAAGCACUUUCAGUGGGGAGGAAAGGUUGUUGGUUAAUACCUAACAGCCUGUGACGUUACCCACAGAAGAAGCACCGGCUAACUCCGUGCCAGCAGCCGCGGUAAUUACGGAGGGUGCAAGCGUUAAUCGGAAUUACUGGGCGUAAAGCGGUG